GAGAGAGAGAGAGAGAGAGAGAGAGAGAGAGAGAGGGUGGGAGAGAGGGGAGGGAGAGAAUAUUAAUAUUAAAUGUAAGAAAAAUUGGAAAAUUAUAUAAAAAGCACUUUGCAGCGUUCUCUCUCUCUCUCUCUUUCUCUCUCUCUCUAUUUUGUAAUUUCUUUGCAUUAUAUUU
rnacentral:miRNA from 1 species